rnacentral:rRNA from 1 species
AGGCGGUAACUGCUGCCUAUAAUGCAGUCGACGCUUCUUUUUCCACCGGAGCUUGCUCCACCGGAAAAAGAGGAGAGCGGGCGGGUGAGUAACACGUGGGUAACCUGCCCAUCUGAAGGAAAAUAACACUUGGAAACAGGUGCUAAUACCGUAUAACAAUCAAAACCGCAUGGUUUUGAUUUGAAAGGCGCUUUUCCGUGUAGCUGAUGGAUGGACCCGCGGUGCAUUAGCUAGUUGGCGAGGUAACGGCUCACCAAGGCCACGAUGCAUAGCCGACCUGAGAGGGUGAUCGGCCACAUUGGGACUGAUACACGGCCCAAACUCCUACGGGAGGCAUCACUAGGAAUCUUCGGCA